AGUUUCUAGACCUUUGAGAAUUAAGAUUCAACUAUAUGGUGAUCUUUGUCUUGCAUCUAGCCAUAUCGUGAAGACAUUUUGUGUGUAGGAUGAUUUUAUAAAAAAGCAUUUGAACAAAGUAAAAUUUAUUUUUCACACACACAAAAAACUUUUUUAAUUUUUUAUAUGACUUUCUACCAUAUCUUCUUUUGUGUCAUCAUGUAUGAACACAAACGAAUUGGUGACAUCCAGUAGAAAAUAGAAAUGCUACCAAUAGUUGUAGGUUGCCAACAUUCUUCAAAAUAUCUUCUUUUUGUUCAAAAAAAAAAAAAACAUAAACUGUUUUAGAACUAGUCAAGAGUGAGUAAAUGAUGGCAGAAUUGUCAAUUUACUGAAAUGUAACAAAAAAUAUAGCACAUUUCCACCCGCACAGAAGCAGCUAAAUGUUUUGCUUGGUGCUUAUAAUGGCCAAAAAUGCUGUGCAUAUCUAAAUGUAUGCUGUCUAGGUAGGCAGUUCAAUAGACUCUGAGACAGCCUAUAAGAUAGUAUUUUUAGACUGUAGUUCUUUUGGUUUUUUUUUCUAUUGGGAAGGGAAUAACCCACACUCUUCCGUUAGCUGCUGACUGCAUGUGUACCCGCCUGUCAGAGGAGGCGACAAUGCGCAAGUGUUCAGCUGCAUUUUACUUCACUCUAGGUUUCAUAUCUGUCUGUACAACUGAAGCAUCAGCAGAAUCUUCUUGCUGCAAAACAUUGUCAGAGAAAGAUCAAUGUAACACAGAAGGUGUCCAUGAUUUGAGAUGCUUCAUAAAGUAUAAAAAAGCUCAACCUAUGUCCAUUUGUGAAUGGAAGCAAGCAGACAACAUUUCAACCUCUUACAAAUUCUACUCUCAAGUGUAAGUUUGCAAACAAUUUCAACUUUUCUUUGAUUGUAUCUUAGGACGGUCUUCAAACAUUUUAGCUCCUGAUUAAUUGAUUAUAAUUAUUUGGACCAAAUUUACAACUUCUCUGUUUUAAAACUAACAAUCUAAAUCGUCACAUUUUAGAAUUGUGUGUUUCAGAAAAAUAAUAAAUGAAUUCAAGUAAAUUAAUGUCAGAUUUCUUUCCACAUUUUUAAUGUAAUUUUGAAAAAAAAAAAAA
rnacentral:lncRNA from 1 species